ensembl:lncRNA
UGUGGGUGGGUACUUUCUGAAUAUGAUGCUUGUAUUUAAAACCUCCUGGCAUUUUUGGCCUAUGGCUCAGGAACACCAAAAGUGGUAGGAGAGAGUGAAAUCAGAGAUUUCAAGAUGUGAUAUGGGGAAAAGAAGCCAAGAGAGGGAGAGUUGUUGAUGAAGUGGUGACAUAGAAACCACAGCAACAAAGGGCUGGCAAAGAGAAUGUAACUGGUCUCCCAGCUCUGCCUGCUGGAAGCCCACCCUGUAACAAGAGAAAAAGAGAAGGGAUAGAGAAUUCGGAGGAAAGAGGUGGCAGCUUGCAAUGAUUAGGUGUCUGCAGAGUAGGAAGUAGGAAGAGGUGCUCUCUUGUCUGUGCUAAUAGGAGUGAAAAUAGAGACCCCCUACCCCCCCUCCAAAAAGAGAACCUAGAAAACCAGUAAGGAAAGCAUUAAGCAGAAAUAUCAAAGAACUUAAGAAGAAAAUAAG